rnacentral:lncRNA from 1 species
GUGUGGCUGAAGAAAGAGAUGAUGGUGAAGAAAGAACUCAUGAUAUGGGUAUAGCAACUCAACCUCCACUACUAUCUUUCGUUACAUCUCAGUACUCCUCUAAGGGCGGCCAUCAUCAGCAGCAGCUAAUCCUAGACAAGACCAAUUCUUUGAGUUCUAUGUCCCAAGAUUAUCAUCACCAAGGAAUCUUUAGUUUCUCGAAUGGGUUCGAGAGAUCGCAACAGGAACACCAACAACAACAACAUCAACAGCACAUAGCACAGCAGAUCCGUAGAGAUAAACUGAGAGUUCAAGGCUUUGACCCUCCUCCACCUCUGGUUACCAUUGAUGAAGUAGAAUCAAGUGGUCUCCCGGGUUAUGAAACAGCAGGUAUGUUGUCCGAAAUGUUUAAUUUUACUUCGGGAGCCGCAACUCCGGGGGAUAUCUCAUUGGAGGGCCAAUUAUCCCACAAUUAUCGCAACUCAAGACCGCCACCGCCUCCGGCUACUCCUGUAGGAAGCGAGUGGUAUAGUAACAGACAAGGAGGAGGAAUGGUGGUGGGUGGUUUGGGAUCGUUGGGAGAAUCCAAAAAUCAAAACGUUGUGGGCGAGCGUGACGCUAUAACUACUACUCAUCAUCAUCACCACCACCAACACCAACAACAACAACAACAACAACAGAUAUCAGGCAUUAAUGCGGACUCAGCAGCAGCCAUGCAACUUUUCCUAAUGAAUCCGCAACCAAGGUCACCUUCACCAUCUCAAUCUCAUCCUCCUCCUGCUAAUCCAACGUCCUCUACUCUCCAUAUGUUGCUUCCUAACCUUCCCUCAAUAUCAUCGCCUUCUACUCUUCAUCAUCAAGGGUUUCAUCAUCAUCAUCAAGUGAGUGCUGCAUCUCCUGCUGGUGCGCCUUUUGGUCUUUCUUCACAAUUCACUUGGGUUCCCGAUGGUGGGACUGGCGGUGUAGCUACCAGUGCUACUGAAAUUGGUGGGGUUGUGGAAGGCCAAGGCCUUUCUUUAUCGCUGUCGUCUUCUUUACAACAUCUUGAAGCGGCUAAGGCUGAGGAAUUAAGAAUGGAAGAUGGCGCAGCCGUGUUAUUUUUCAAUCAAGGUGGAGGAGGGUCUAAUACUUCUUCUGCUGCUCAAUACGCUUACAAGAAUUUAGGUGGCGGUCACCAUCAUCAGCCAUUGCAUAUAGCCCAGGGUGGAGGAGGAGUGGGUCAGAAUCACCAGCUUCAUGUUGGGUUCGGAUCAUCUCUGGGCGUGGUCAAUGUCUUGAGGAAUUCUAAGUACGCAAAAGCAGCACAGGAGUUGUUGGAAGAAUUUUGCAGUGUGGGUAGAGGUCCACUCAAGAAGAACAAAUUAGCAAGGAAUAAUAGCACUACUAACCCUAAUUCCAAUCCAAGUGGCAAUAGUGGUGGUGGUGGUGUUGCUACUAAUGGCGGUGGUGGCGGAAAUUCGUCUUCUUCUUCAAAGGAUCUCCCUCCUUUAUCAGCGGCUGAUAGGCUAGAGCAUCAAAGGAGAAAGGUCAAACUGUUAUCUAUGCUUGAUGAGGCACGUACUCUCUCUUUGAGCCCUCUCUCUCUCUCUCUCUCUCUCUCACACACACACACACUCUCUCUCUCUCUCUCAAAUUUUAUAUUCAUCUCGUCAAUGACCAAUCAUUGAUGUUUAUUUUAGUCCAUUAAUCAUGAAAUGCACCGGGGACAAGACAACAGCAAAAUUCCGGCGAGUUUCGAGGAAUAUUAUACAAGUUUGUACCAUAGAAACAGCCGGCAAUGGAAUAGGCUCUCGAUAGAUUGAGUUAACUGAGGUUGAUUUCUUAGAGUUCUAUAUUUCAUAUUUUAUUUCACUACUGAUACCAUCGGUGGGGGUAUUAGGAUACUUGGAUUUUGUUUGGUGAAAACAUGAAAGAAAGAGUGGCCACUGACUACAUUGGACGAUUUUAUUUUUCCUGGUAAGAAAGAAGAUGUUCUACUUUGAUUGAUUGGAAGUCAGCAAAUUGAGCUAAACCAAGUACUCAUGGUCCUAGAUGCGUAGCAACUUGCUAAGACGUUUAAUUCAGGUGCUAAUUAUACUUCCAUUUCCAUCAUGGGAAAUGUUGCGGGAAAAGCCAUUGAUGUAUAUACGUAUGACUUUUUCCAUCGGGGUUGACCUAAAGAUUGGUUCUUUCUUCAUGUUUUCUCUAUUUUUUUAUGGAGACACUGUGGAUGUUGUUGGCUGUAUUGGGAAAAGAGAGCAAGGCAAUAAACAUAAGUAUAUUCUUUGUUCACGUCAACAAUCAUAUCAUGGUAGCAGGCUUUGUAUUCACGCAUUAAUCUUCUAUUUUUUUUUUCUUAUGAUACAUUGUUGUCUACAUAUGAGUUUAGGAUCCAACAAAAUUGCAGCCUUUCCCGCAAAAGCUUCUCCAACCUAAUAAACAUGAGAUUAUGUUAAUACCUUAUGGUUUACCUUCAAACGUUUAUUUCACCAAAUUGACAAUUAGGUCUCGUCAAUUAUUGCAUGAUUUAUUUUAGGUUGUGUUGCUUUAGCGUUGUUUAGUUGUUACGUUUCCUCAUUUCCAUUAUUGUGAUAUGGUACUCAUAUAUCCAUAUUUCACUUAAAAUUGGUUUGUCCGGAAAGAGACUUUCUCGUUUUUUACUUGCCUUCCUUUAUAGACUUUUUUUUUAUUAGUAUUUCAAGAAUUCAUAUCACUUUUGCCCAAGGCUUUUCUUAACCCUCUUAUAGUUUUAGAUCAGUUUUACUCGUGUUAAUCAGGAGUAUAAAAAAUUUAGUGAUUUAACCUAAUUAAUUCCGACAUGUACAUUAAUCUUGACUUGCAGGUGGAUCGAAGAUACAAUCAUUACUGCGAACAAAUGCAAAUGGUGGUCAACUCAUUUGAUCUGGUGAUGGGGUUCGGUGCAGCAGUACCGUACACUGCACUUGCUCAGAAGGCAAUGUCUCGACAUUUCCGGUGCCUCAAGGAUGCCAUAGCAACGCAGCUGAAACACAGUUGUGAGCUACUGGGAGAGAAAGACGCCGGUACAUCGGGCGUGACAAAAGGAGAGACUCCAAGACUUAAGCUUCUGGAACAAAGCUUGAGACAGCAAAGGGCCUUUCACCAAAUGGGAAUGAUGGAACAAGAAGCAUGGAGACCUCAGAGGGGCUUGCCUGAACGCUCAGUCAACAUUUUGCGAGCUUGGCUUUUUGAGCAUUUUCUACACCCGUACGUUUCUUGAGCUAGUCUCUGACCUAAUCUUAAGAUACUAGUAAAAUAUCCAUAUCCAUGCCAACGUAGUUGAGUUAAAGGAGGACCCAAAAAAAAAAGCAUUAUUACCAAAUUACAAGGAAAGACAUGACGUAAUUGCUCAGACAUUAUUAGCCGAAAUACAUAGGAGCAACACUUCCAAGUAUUGUCUCUACUUUGGACAGUGUUGAAAGCAGUGUCCUUUGUUGUUGUUUGGUCAGUGAAAAAGCUGAAAAGGGCUCGCUACAUUCAUUUUACUAAAUUGCAGUAGAUAAUCAACCUUUCCCUAAUUAGUCCCUCCUGACAUAGGCGUUAGUGUGACUAUUGCAUAUGAACCUAGUAAAUUCCUUUAUUCACAAACCAACCCCAAUCUUCCGCCCUCCCCCCAUCCCCCCACCCCCCCACCAAACAAAAAAACCCGUCGUCCUCCACACACACUCACUGUUUCUUUUUUCUCAUCCUCUCUCUCUCUCUCUCUCGUCUGUCGUGACUACAUACAUGUAUGCAUGACAGUAAAAGCAAAUAUAAUGGGGAAGAAUCUAAUGGAUGUGGCCAAUGUUAGAGGGGGAUCAGAUCAGAGCAUGCAGUCAGCAGUGUCCUCGAUCGCUUUACUGCUGUCGCUGCUGCUGCUGAUCUUCCUCUCUUAGAUUGUCACGCCCGUUGCAGGAAAAAGAAAAGAAACCUUCAGUGAAAACUACGGAGGAUAGAGAAAGUAAUGCGUUCCUUUAUGCGGUUUAGGUAAGAAAUCUGAUGUCAUUUUCUGGUCUCUUUCUCAGGUAUCCAAGCGAUGCAGAUAAGCAUCUGUUGGCAAGACAGACUGGUCUGUCAAGAAACCAGGUACUUACUACUAUAUUACUCUAACGUCAUUUUACCUCUUACUCUCUUAUAUUAUUCACCUUUCCUCUUUCCUCUUUUCUUUUUUUUUUUUUUCUGUUUUUAACGAUUGAGUGAUGAGCACCGUAAAAAAACACGACAAUUAGAGAGAGAGAGAGAGAGAGAGUGAGAGGGUGGGGUGACCAGGAGUUAUUUCAGUUGGACUUGCACGGAUAAGGGUCUUAAUUCCACGGUUUUUCUCUUUCCGUUAGAGAAAAGCCAAAACUUUUUUGCUACCCUUUCUUGUUUCGGUGCUUUUUCUACGAAGACAGGAAUUCUUAAACACUGAAAAACCCUGCAAGAACAGUGAAAUACGUGAAAGUUUGCAGCUUUGGCUUUGUCUAUCGCUAACAUGCCCAGAAACUUAGAACAAUUCAUUACACUAAAUUCUGCACCAAAUAGUUGCUUCUUGGUUAAUUAUAGGCACCUCGUAUUUCGACUUAAUAUUGUACUGGCUUUUCACUCAUUCGUGCUCAAGGUUUUUCCCUGCUCAAUUUUCACUUAGAGAGGAUGGGUUGGGUGGCGUAGUAGGAAAAGAAGUGCAAGUAAAAGAUUUCGAAUUCAAUUCUUUCAUAUACACAAAAAAAAAAAGUCUAAGUGUCUUAUUUUUUGAAGAAAUGUCAUUGUAAAAGGAAACCAAUUAUUUUAGGGAUAAUUUUUGUUCAUCCUCUUUUCCCUAUAGAAGUCAAAAGAAAGUAGAUAUCAAAAAAGCAAAGAGUGCAAAAUGGUGAUUAAUCAUAGGUUGGCGUACAAUAGUUGAAAGACCUUCUCAAUAAUAACUUCAAAGACAAAGCCCGGUAAGCAAAAUCUUGGUCUCUUUAAAAUGACAGUGACGGGAUGAUGAAUGUCUUUUUCACCAAAUUUUGUCUUAUCAAGAGCAAAACCCGAAUUGCAGCAUCAAGAAAGAGUUAAAAACACGCCGGUAUUUUGUAGCAUGGGAGAAAAGAAGCAAGGUUAUUAAAUUCCAUGAGUCUCAUUUAUUAAAAUAUCCUGUAGAGUGUGAGUACGCGCGCGCGUAUGUGUGUGUAUAUAUAUUUGUGCAGCGGAUCAAUUAUGUGUAUUUGGGUUUAAUGUUUUGAUUUUGUAAUUGCGUGUUCCAGGUCUCAAACUGGUUCAUUAAUGCCAGGGUCCGGUUGUGGAAACCCAUGGUGGAAGAGAUGUACCAACAAGAAGCCAAAGAAGAGGCAGAAGAGAGAGAACCUAGCCAAAGCAAUGGCAGCAACAUUGCACAAACACCAACGCCCAAUGCCACUACUUCUACCACCCCAUCUUCUACAGCUGCCACCAAAACUGCUACGACAGCAACAGCAACAGAAACAACUGCAGCAGCAGCAGCAGCAGCAGCAGCAAUUACAGCAACAGGCAAAAGAUCCGAAAUUAAUGAUUCUGAAAACGACCCUUCAUUCUUCGCAAUCAAUAGACAAUGCUUCUCGGAAAACCAAGCAAAAAACAAUUGUUCCUCCACCACUUCCACCUCAAAAAUGUCUAUUUCCACUUCUCUUGCUACCCAAACCGCCACCGUCAGGCCACCAACAAUGUCAUCACAAUCUUUUCCGACCGCCUACGACUCCGAGGCCGCCUGCCGCCGCAGCGGCAUUGUGACAUCUGCCAACGCUGAGAUGGGGUCCACGUUCAUAAGGUUUGGAACUAGUGCUGGAGAUGUUUCACUUACUCUAGGGCUACGUCAUGCCGGAAACCUACCGGAGAAUAGUAGUACUCCCUUUUCUGUUCGAGACUUCGGGGGCAGUUAGUUAAACUAAUUAUUGGAAUCACACAAGU